rfam:Harpegnathos saltator strain R22 G/1 HarSal_1.0_2.contig6283, whole genome shotgun sequence.
UACCCUGAACGGUGGAUCACUUGGCUCGUGGGUCGAUGAAGAACGCAGCUAAUUGCGCGCCAACGUGUGAACUGCAGGACACAUGAAUAUCGACAUUUCGAACGUACAUUGCUGUCAACGGAUACAAUUUCCGGACCACGCCUGGCUGAGGAUGG